UUCUGCCCUAUGAUUAUUUAAAUGGCUGCAGUAUCUUGACUGUGCAAAGGUAGCAUAAUAAUUAGUCUUUUAAUUGAAGGCUUGUAUGAAUGGAUAAAUGGAUAUUUAUUUUAUUUUUAUAAAUUUUAUAAUUUGAUUUUUAUGUAAAAAAGCUUAAUUUAUUUUUUGGGACGAUAAGACCCUAUAGAACUUUAUUAAUUUUUUUUUUUAAUGAUCUUGGUUAAUAAAUUUUAUUAUAAAUUUAUAUUAAUUUUGUUGGGGUGACGAAUAAAUUUUACUUUAUUUUUAAAAUUCAUAAUUAAUGUUUAUUUUGAUCCAUGAUUUGAUUGUAAGAUUAAGUUACCUUAGGGAUAACAGCGUAAUUUUAAUGGGGAGUUCAUAUUUAUAUUAAAGUUUGCGACCUCGAUGUUGAAUUAAGAUAAGAUUGGGGGGUAG
rnacentral:rRNA from 1 species